CCUACGGGCGGCAGCAGUGAGGAAUAUUGGUCAAUGGGCGUAAGCCUGAACCAGCCAAGCCGCGUGAGGGAUGAAGGUUCCAUGGAUUGUAAACCUCUUUUAUAAGGGAAUAAAGUGCGGGACGUGUCCCGUUUUGUAUGUACCUUAUGAAUAAGGAUCGGCUAACUCCGUGCCAGCAGCCGCGGUAAUACGGAGGAUCCGAGCGUUAUCCGGAUUUAUUGGGUUUAAAGGGUGCGUAGGCGGCCUUUUAAGUCAGCGGUGAAAGUCUGUGGCUCAACCAUAGAAUUGCCGUUGAAACUGGGAGGCUUGAGUAUGUUUGAGGCAGGCGGAAUGCGUGGUGUAGCGGUGAAACGCUUAGAUAUCACGCAGAACCCCGAUUGCGAAGGCAGCCUGCCAAGCCAUGACUGACGCUGAUGCACGAAAGCGUGGGGAUCAAACAGGAUUAGAUACCCCAGUAGUC
rnacentral:rRNA from 1 species